rnacentral:rRNA from 1 species
UACGUAGGGGGCAAGCGUUGUCCGGAAUCAUUGGGCGUAAAGAGCGCGUAGGCGGUCCGGUAAGUCCGCUCUGAAAGUCCGGGGCUCAACCCCGGGAGGCGGGCGGAUACUGUCGGGCUAGAGUCCGGAAGAGGCGAGUGGAAUUCCUGGUGUGGCGGUGAAAUGCGCAGAUAUCAGGAGGAACACCAAUGGCGAAGGCAGCUCGCUGGGACGGUACUGACGCUGAGGCGCGAAAGCGUGGGGAGCAAACAGG